rnacentral:piRNA from 1 species
UGAGAUUUUUAUACGUUUUUGGCUUUCGUG